GACAGUUCUCACCAGACCACGAAGACAGACCACCAUCAAUAGGAGCACGUUCAACCGUUUUGCAAAUGGAUGCUGAUGCAAUCCGGCAUGAAUUCAUACUCUUAGAUGAGGCUGAGUUUAACCUGACAAAGGUUAGAAGAAGAGGGAGAAACCUCAUCGGCCACAUGGCAUUGUCACACCAGAAGACCAGAUAGAGGCAGAGCAGAUGAGAUACGUUGUCAUCGGGGACCAUGUAUCUUUUCACUGAUCUGCUCUGGUCCAAAACUAGUUUCAACAGCACCCAUCAUUUUCAGUUCAGUACCUUCCACCAAACUCUCCCUUCCUUAACCCCAUUGAGGAGUUUCUCUCUGCAUGGUGGUGGAAGGUUUACGAUCUCCAGCCCCAUGUCAGGAUACCCCUCAUUCAAGCCAUGGAGGAGGUGUGCAACCAGACUGAUGCAGGGUCAGUGCAAGGAUGGAUUCGCCAUUCAAGAAGAUUCUUCCCUCGCUGUCUGGCGAGAGAGAACGUAGCCUGCGAUGUGGACGAAGAGCGACGGCCCGAUCCAGCUAGGCGAAGAGAUGAUGCCUAGGAAUGAUUUUUUCUGUAUUUCAUUUGCUGUAUGCUUUCUUUUGUGUCCACAAAUGGAUUUGCUGUGUUUACAGUAUUCAACUUGAAAUCUGUAUUUUCUGUUUCGAGGUGUUCUGCUUCUUGUCUGUCUAGUUGUGUGAAUCGUGUUGUGUUUUGGCAACUUGAGCCCAGUUUUCAAAAUUGUGCUUAAGCAGAUGGAAUAAAACUGUAAACAGGGAAAA